rnacentral:rRNA from 1 species
AACGAACGCUGGCGGCGCGCCUAAUACAUGCAAGUCGAGCGAGAAGGUGUAGCAAUACACUUGUAAAGCGGCGAACGGGUGAGGAAUACAUGGGUAAUCUACCAUCGAGUGGGGAAUAGCCAGCCGAAAGGCUGGCUAAUACCGCGUACGCUUCCGGGUUUUCGGAUUCGGAAGGAAAGCCAUACCGUGGGUAUGGCGCUCUUUGAUGAGCUCAUGUCCUAUCAGCUUGUUGGUAGGGUAACGGCCUACCAAGGCUUUGACGGGUAGCUGGUCUGAGAGGACGAUCAGCCACACUGGCACUGCGACACGGGCCAGACUCCUACGGGAGGCAGCAGUAAGGAAUAUUGCGCAAUGGGCGACAGCCUGACGCAGCGACGCCGCGUGGGGGAUGAAGGUCUUCGGAUCGUAAAGCACUGUCGCCCGGGACAAAGAAAGUGAUGGUACCGGGAGAGGAAGCACCGGCUAACUCUGUGCCAGCAGCCGCGGU